rnacentral:rRNA from 1 species
UAGCAUAUCAAUAAGCGGAGGAAAAGAAACCAACAGGGAUUGCCCUAGUAACGGCGAGUGAAGCGGCAACAGCUCAAAUUUGAAAUCUGGCUCUUUUAGGGUCCGAGUUGUAAUUUGCAGAGAGCGCUUUGGCGUUGGCAGCGGUCCAAGUUCUUUGGAACAGGACGUCACAGAGGGUGAGAAUCCCGUACGUGGUCGCUAGCCUUCGCCGUGUAAAGCCUCUUCGACGAGUCGAGUUGUUUGGGAAUGCAGCUCUAAAUGGGAGGUAAAUUUCUUCUAAAGCUAAAUACUGGCCAGAGACCGAUAGCGCACAAGUAGAGUGAUCGAAAGAUGAAAAGCACUUUGGAAAGAGAGUCAAAUAGCACGUGAAAUUGUUGAAAGGGAAGCGCUUGCAGCCAGACUUGCCUGUAGUUGCUUAUCCGGACUUUUGUCCGGUGCACUCUUCUGCGGGCAGGCCAGCAUCAGUUUAGGCGGUUGGAUAAAGGUCUCUAUCACGUACCUCCCUUCGGGGUUGGCCUUAUAGGGGAGACGACAUGCAGCCAGCCUGAACUGAGGUCCGCGCAUCUGCUAGGAUGCUGGCGUAAUGGCUGUAAGCGGCCCGUCUUGAAACACGGACCAAGGAGUCUAACAUCUAUGCGAGUGUUUGGGUGUCAAGCCCAGACGCGUAAUGAAAGUGAACGGAGGUGGGAACCUUUUAGGUGCACCAUCGACCGAUCCUGAUGUCUUCGGAUGGAUUUGAGUAAGAGCAUGGCUGUUGGGACCCGAAAGAUGGUGAACUAUGCUUGAAUAGGGUGAAGCCAGAGGAAACUCUGGUGGAGGCUCGCAGCGGUUCUGACGUGCAAAUCGAUCGUCAAAUUUGGGCAUAGGGGCGAAAG